GGACGAAAGUCUGACGGAGCAACGCCACGUGAGUGAUGAAGGUUUUCGGAUCGUAAAGCUCUGUUGUUAGGGAAGAACAAGUGCGAGAGUAACUGCUCGCACCUUGACGGUACCUAACCAGAAAGCCACGGCUAACUACGUGCCAGCAGCCGCGGUAAUACGUAGGUGGCAAGCGUUGUCCGGAAUUAUUGGGCGUAAAGGGCUCGCAGGCGGUUUCUUAAGUCUGAUGUGAAAGCCCCCGGCUCAACCGGGGAGGGUCAUUGGAAACUGGGAAACUUGAGUGCAGAAGAGGAGAGUGGAAUUCCACGUGUAGCGGUGAAAUGCGUAGAGAUGUGGAGGAACACCAGUGGCGAAGGCGACUCUCUGGUCUGUAACUGACGCUGAGGAGCGAAAGCGUGGGGAGCGAACAGGAUUAGAUACCCUGGUAGUCCACGCCGUAAACGAUGAGUGCUAAGUGUUAGGGGGUUUCCGCCCCUUAGUGCUGCAGCUAACGCAUUAAGCACUCCGCCUGGGGAGUACGGUCGCAAGACUGAAACU
rnacentral:rRNA from 1 species